UAACUUCAACAAUCCAUAAGUAAAAAAAAUCAGCAUUUAAGUUAAACUGUAUAAUGUUGAUUAAACGUAAAUGUACUUGUCCCGAUUCACAAGAGUGACUAAUUAUUUUUAAUAAUGUAAGAACCGCACCGUGUAUCGGUUAGUUUAAUUCUUAUUGUAAAGUAUUUUAAUUUUGUUUAUUCUUUACUCAUGAAAUAUUGAAUGUAAUGUGUUUCUAUUACAUGUACAAGUAAAUAAACGUGGAACUUGU
rnacentral:misc_RNA from 1 species